ensembl:lncRNA
UCUUCAAAUGAGACGGAGGCAUUCCAGCGACAGCCGACGGUCCUGUGCCGUCGAGGAGCGCAGCAGCAAACGUGUGUAUUUUUACACCAUCUCUGACACCUAUACGUGCAUCUCUUCACAGCUCUUGGUGAGAACAGAAGACACGUCCACUUAAGUUGUCAUCAUCAUCCUCAGCCCAGGACAUUGACAGUUGGGGCUGGAGGAGAGAGAGAUGAGGCGAGAUGAGGAGGGAGAACUAGAGGAGUGUAAUGAGGGACACAGAUGUGACUUUCUGGCACUUCCCCUCACAUGAGACAGAGGGUCAGGACGACUAGCACAGGUGUGAGUGAGGAGAAAGGAACUGGCAGUGGCAAAUGGGACCUUUCGUCUGGGAAUGUCGGGUUCCACAGACAAGCUGAUCUGAGGACAUCGGAAGCAGGCAGAAGAGGGGGGGGUGAGAGGGUGAACAUGAGGGCGACAGCAGGUGACACCACCAAGGGACCACCAUGAUGAAAGUGAGCGGAAAAGUUAAAAGAGGGCAAAGCGAGAAGAAGUGGCGAGAAAAAGAGAGCAAAGGAGACAUGAUAUUAAACUGGAUUUUUCCAGGCGGUGGGGGUAGGGUGUGCGUCUGUCAGUGUUGCCCCCAACCCCCCUUUCCCAACCACUCUUCUUCUCCGUGCUUGAUUGACAAUGACUGUGUCUCUAAUUGGCAAGAGUGGAUGAGGAAGAAUCAGGCUUCCUCCAUGGGACAGACCGAGGAAGAGAAAAGGGGGGCGAGGAAGGGGGGGUUGGACAUAUAACGGAGCCUUACCAACAGUUAGUGAAUGAGGCGAGAGAAGAGGAGAAGAACAAGAAAAAUAAAGGGGGCAGGUGACUGACUAAAUGGCCUGAGGUGCAGUCCUCAAGAGAUGCCUCCAUCCCCACAACCUCCUUCCUCCCAACACCACUGCGACCUCACUCAGAAUGCAUGAAGAGGAGGAGAAAGAAGAAGAAGACGGAGAAGAAAUAAAUAAAGGCGAAAUGAGCCCCAGAACCGGGAGGAGAGGAGGAGAAGGAGAGAAAGGAGACGGAGAGGAGCAUUGUGGGCCCCUUUGCUCCGGUCUCGACCACGGGUAUUCUUGGGUUGAUAAUACAGAUGUGGAUGUUAUUGCUUGAGAAUACGCGUAGUCGAGUGGAGGCUUCAUCAUCUACAGUCGACCCAAAAGCAGAGCUCCAACCAGUAGAGUAUACCGAGGCGUGACACCAGGCACAUACGUGUGAAUGUAGCGAGCUGAGCUAGUGAUAGCGACACAGGGUGGUUUUUAAUGAAGCACCCAGAGGUGACUUUUUCUGGGCUUUAUUUUGUUCAAUCAGAAAUGGUUUUGUUAUUUUAAAAUGGAAUUCACGGCUACAGCCAAAUCCAAUUGGAUUGCCAGCAGCUGAAGAGUUGGGUUUUUUCUCUCUCUCUCUCACUCUGCUGGGUUUAUCAACCAUGUCCCUCUCUCACACCUGUGGAAUAAAUGAGUUGGUCUCGCUGGCCAGGUUUAGCCUUCCCUACUCGGCAGUGCUGCUGGAGAUGACUCGCACCUUGCAUUUAAGCUAACCCCCCUCCCCACCCCCCGUCCUGGGGGCAUUAGUUUCGGGGAGCUUAAACCCAAAGUCCCCAUACUCAGACUUUAAUUCCAAACCCUACUUGAUUACAUUACCCUUGUCGGUCCGUGGUGCUUACAAGUGAGCCUAUAAUCUUAUCAGCUGAUGAGUGUAUCUCACCGCCUGUCACACGCCCUGCAACAAACGUUUUCCCUCGCGCUGAGCGGAAAUGUGCAAAAUGAAUAUAAAUUAAAUUGGCUCCUCGGACGCAAGCGGGACGGUACAACGUGAGCGUAACCUCCCAUCUCAUCUGACUCCCCUGGCUCGUGCUAUAGGAGCGUGUGAGAGUUUGAUGCCUGAAUCGGCAACAGGCGACAUAACACAUGAGUACAUGUCAAGACUCGCACCCCUGGCUGACAUCUCAGCUGACUGGCUGUAUAUAAUUGGCAGGAGGGGAUUACAUGAUCUAUGCCAGAGGGGAAAUUAUGGGGUCGAUGGAUCUUACAAAAGCAAUACAGACUACCCCCAUAUGUUUGAAUACACACAAACACACACCGGGCGCAGCUGGGUUCACCGGGUCCAGUGUGCCAGUGGGGAAAUAAGGGAUUGAUUGACUUUAUGGGUGACUAUUUUUAGUCAGAGUGAUGGAUGUUUAUGUCUUUUAUUGAUCGAGUCGAGCUGUGGGUCUGAGGCGUUGUUGGACGUCGUGGUGUGCUGAUUGAUCAGGUGUUGGAAUAAAACAGCCCCGGUUUACAUUUUUGGUGCAUUAGCAUUAUUGCAAAAGUUAUAAAUUAGAAAAUCAACAUUUCAUUGCAAAUUCAGCAAUAUAUUAGCAUUCGUUUGCAAAUGUGCCCGUGAUGAAUUGCAGUCCUCUCAUGCGCCACUCCGUGAUUUCUUACUACUGCGUAAGCAAAUCGGGUAUUUAUUAGCGUGGUGUGUAAUUCUAAUAUAUACCAAUGUUCACCCUGACGUUGUGUAAACUUGUUAAUCCGCCAAAGCCAUUUCUGUGUUUUGUGUGUGUUUGCGUGUGCGCUACUAAGCAACAAAAUGACUAUUGUGAGGUCAGUUCCAGGUACCUAGCAACCAAAAUCGCUCAGUUUCCCAGGCAACCGUUGCCUCGCACUCACUGUGUGGGUGAUUGGCAGCCUUGACAACGGAGAAGGGAGUGACACUUGACCUCGCGUGCUGAAUGGGAGAGGAGAAAGAGGGAGCGAGGAGCCAGUGUGUGGGUGGAGGGGGAGGGGGCGGGGGAGGGAGGGGACGCUUGAGGAGACAGACGGGGGACUAAGUGAUAAUCAUUCCCCAUUGUGAUCAUCCUCUAGAAUGUUUCAUAAGGCGUCAUCUAUACCCCCCCCCCCCCCCCAGCUGGGGUCCAUCAUCAGACACAGCACCCUCACGCGCUCCACCUGGGUGGAGAGGCCGGGCGGGCACUCCACAUCUCAUCUAUUAACACUCAGCCCUGCACUGGUGCACGGCCCCCGCUGCACUGUGUCUUCUUUUAUUUGUGAUCUGCCUCACACGGGCCGCCGCGGGAGGACCGUAUGACGGGCUCCUAAAGAAAAUAAUGGGUCACAGGUGCGGCGUGCACUCGAGACAUUUUACUUUGGGCCCGGCGCGGCAGGUGUCUUUGACCCCUUUGAAUUUGAGUGCUGUUAAUGUGUCUGUGUGCGUGGUUUCCUCUUCUAUGCACUGGUCAAUUUCUUCAAAACUAAAAGUUCAAUGCUGACUCCACCUGUGAAAUGGUACAAUGGUACAACUUAAAUAAAAUUUAAAAGCCGUGA